rnacentral:rRNA from 1 species
UGUCUCCUAAAUAGGGACCAGUAUGAACGGCUAAAUGAGGACAAACCUGUCUCUUAUAACUAAUCAGUGAAACUGAUCUCCCAGUACAAAAGCUGGGAUCAACACAUAAGACGAGAAGACCCCGUGGAGCUUAAAACAAACCACCAACUUCAACCCUGGUGUACUGUUUUGAGUUGGGGCGACUUCGGAAUACAACAAAACUUCCGAGCACAGAACCAUCAGUUUCUAACCGAGGCCAACAAGCCUAAGUAUCAACAGACCCGGCCCACGCCGACCAACGAACCAAGUUACCCCGGGGAUAACAGCGCUAUCUUCUUCAAGAGUCCCUAUCAACAAGAAGGUUUACGACCUCGAUGUUGGAUCAGGACACCCAAAUGGUGCAGCCGCUAUUAAAGGUUCGUUUGUUCAACGAUUAACAGU